UUAAAAAAAUAGAGGCUGCGUGUGAUUUCAGUUCCGGUUCAAUGCAUUUGUAAUGAGGGGGCGCACUUCUGUGCAGUGUGCACAUUAGUCGUCGUUGCCAGCAGGCUGCACCCGACAGCCAAGGGAUUUACAUGUGGCAUAGCAAGUCUCUGAAGCAGUGUCUCACACUCGAGUCCUGACCGAGGGCCUUGAAACUGGCAUGCCUGUUCAAAACAUCUCCAGGACAACAAGAAGAUGAAGGAGAAUGCGUGCAGUGGGCUGAAUAGAGAAUUCGUGAAUCAAAGGCAACACCAUCAAAUGCAUUAUGAAAUUAAGCACUAUCAGGUUGUCAAGGCUGUAGCUCAGCGGGCACAUGGUCCUGGAUACCUGAUAUAUAUAUAUUUUUUUUAACUAUUUAUAUAUGGAAUCUGAAUGCACUCCAAGAAAUGCUGCAGUUCUUUGUGCCACAAGAGGCCAAGAAGCUCUACUACAAGAAGUUAAGGCAGAAGAUGAAGAUUAUUACAAAUUAUCCAAGUCAGUUCCGACCAAGUAAUUUGAUUGGACAAGAGGCAUUCCAGUGCUGAUAUAGAGUAUAACAGCACUGGGUCUUUUAACUAUACACGUAUCGCUCCCCUUUACGGGUGUUCUCAUAACCGUUAAUGUUAUUAACAAUCUUUUUGUAGCUUAGAUUGCAGCUAACUUUGCACAGCAAAUAUGAACAUGUUUCCAGGAAUAACAUUGGAGUUGAAUUAAGAAUGGUCGCCAGAAGAGGACCAAGGGAACCUAAUGUAAUGCUAAUGUGUUAAUGUGUUGCUUGGCAACAGUUUGACCAGUUGCGGAUCUAUUUGUGUUGGCGGAGCCAAAUAAAUCAUCAAUGAACCAAAGAAAUCUGAUCAUAAUAUGUUGUUAAUUAUUAUUGUUAACUAAUGAUUGGUGCUUGUAGAACUGUUGUAUAAAAGCAAUAUCACUCAGGAGGGAGUGCUUUUGUACUACGGCUGGGAUUCGGUCGUAGGUAUGAGGCCGUUGGCCGAGUGCCGAAGAGAAUCACAGCCGUGCUGAUAUUCAGUACAACAGCACUCUCGUGUGAUAUUGCUUAAUUAUUCUGUUCCCAAAUUCCAUAAAAAGUCUGAUUACUAAGAAAUAUUGAUGUAUCAUUACUUUUGUCAGUUUCAAGUUUUUGUUUUAACACAGGUGUACCAACAAUGUGUAUGAUGUAUGACUACCUAAGCUGUACAUGUCUUUAAAGAUAUUGAUGCAGAUAUUUCCACAUUUACAUUUCUCAGUGCAAAUGGGUUUUUGAAUAAGUUUCUGAAACUAGUGCUUUGAGAUGUUUGAGAUAACAAACAUUUAAUAUGUUGGAAAUAUUUUUGGUCGCUGGUCAGCUUAAUAUUUAAUAUAUUGUUUCUUAUGGCACAUUAACGAGAAUGUCAAACUGGCACUGAAUGUUGAAAGGUUGCUGACCCCUGGUUACUGUAUUCCCUCUCCCGCUCCAUUACAUGUAUGUUCGUUUAUUUCAAGUUAACUUGUUUUUCUGUGUUAUUACAACCUUGCAACACAUUUCCAUUAAUGUAGUUUGUUUAUUCAAAUGGGUAUUAAAACCUUAAUCUUUGUCAAGCCAAACUCUUGAGUAAUUAUUUCAAAGAAUAGGGGCGUGGAAAUCAAUGAGGUAAGUGGGUUUUGGGGCUUAUCUUAUGACUAACUUUGGAUCUGAACUAAUGUGAAUUGUGAUAGAUCUCAUGGUGUUUACAUCGCUUUACUAGGAUUUCUAAAUUGCAGCUUCUGUGUUUUAACCCCUCUCAAAUGCUACUGUUGUAAUGGGGUUUUCUUAACCAGUGAUCUUUAUUGCACUUGUGAAAGCUGUUUGUGUGAGCUGUUUGUGUGAGGUUUUAAAUCAGGCUUGGGCCUAUAAAAAAAUAGUUAAUAAAUCAGUUUAUUUAUUUAUUAUUAAUAGAACGGGCCAGGCUCGGACAGAACAGAGAGCUAAAAUCCUAAAUUCAAUAAACUGUCAGUUGAGCUGGACGAGCCACGGUGUUCUGGAACACAGCGCUCAGUUCUGAUCUCUCUCCACUAUCGGGACUCCAUCACUCAUUUCACUCAGUAACUCUAAUGUUGUAAGGUAUUUAUCUUCAUCUCUUAUCUAUUGUACUACGGGGAACUAUGCAGGCUAACCCUAUAUAUAUGGACACCUGCUAAGUUGUUCCACUCAAAUAGAGUAGGCCUACUAAAGUGAAAACGUUACGUUGUCCUGGCAACCGGGUUUUCAGUUCUAAACAACCGAACGAGAGAUGGCGUUCUCCAUGGGUGUGUUCGAAAUGACUUACUAAUUACUACUUACUAC